CAUUUAAUUUCUUUUUAAAGUUAAUUCCUAAGUUUCUAAUAAAGAGUAGAGAAGAUUAAACUUUGUAAGCCAAACUCUCUUCACUUAGGUUCCCCCUCUCCACCGCCCCAAACUUGGUGGAUUUCACAUCGGAUUUUGGCCUAGCCUUUCCUAAUUAAACAGCUAAGGAGUUCAAGUUGAUGCACAGUGGUUUGUAGUGCCUAAAGCUUUUGCAGGCCAUUAGAGUUUAAUUGUUCAUCUCGUUUAAAAUCAUCUCACUCAAAAGACAUCUUGGCUGAGAAUGAAAUGGGUCAUGAAACUAUAAAUAGGAGGUAAAUUAUAUUUGCACGUUAACUGAAACAGGGGAAGGAAGGGAGAUCUUCCAAGGCCAAUAGACUCCAUUACAAUAUCCCAAUGGGAAAAUUGGAUUCCACAAUUUUCGUGUCAUUGUGGAGUAACCAGUUGAAAAGAAUUACUUAUCUAAAGCACAGUGAGCAAUUGUCCUAGACAUGCACUAAAGCCUGUGAUUCGGAGCAAUCCCAAGAGAUGAAGUCACCAUUGGCAAGUUCCAACUUUUUUUUUAAUAAAUGUCUGCAGUUCUCAGCAAUUAAUACAAAUAUAGGCACAGCCAAUUGCACUGGAAUCCACAGACAAUGUCUGUUUAUUGUAGACGAAAAGAGGGGUUGGUAGAGGUGGGAAAAAGCUACAAUCCACGCUUCAGUUUAGGACUAAUUGUACUUUUGUUCUUCCUGUGCUGAUCAAAGCCAAAGUCCUUCCUAUUUCAAAUGUAAACACUGUUGGUGAACUGAUUUCUUAAAAGCAGAGAUCAGGGCAACUAUUAUAUUUCAAAGGCUAGUUUAAAAAAAAACAAAAACCUGGCCUGGAUACCAGGGCUGUGUUUGUUCAAGAGAAUAAAAUGUGCAUUUUGAAAGGACAUUGAGUUCACUGUACAUACAUCUAAGCUUUGACAUAAUUGUCACACUUUGAUUCCCCCCCCCCCAUUUAAUUUCCCUCUGACCUUUCUUUCUUUGCACCUAUAUGCCUGCCAACUGAGAAAAACACUCCAUGCAACUGAUGAUGGGUACUUCAAUACAGGAAAGCUUCUGCUGUAACAAAUGUGUUAGUCUUUUGAGCAUAGACUACCAAGAACCAUAUCAGGUAGAUUAGACUGAUGAAGAUGGACUGGUCCAGCAUCAUAUGAGAAGGAAGAAAGCAAGUGGUGGGUGGAAAGCCCCAAAGAGAGACCUCUGUGAUUGGAUCGGCCCUGUUACGUGAUCUUCAAAAGAAAACAGACCUGCUUUAUUUGUGUGACAGCCAAAGUGGCUGUGACCCUGAAAAUGAAACGAUACUAAUAAUAUAUCACCCUAACGGAAGCUUGUUGCUUUGGAAGCUAAGAGAGAUGCACUGUGAGGAAAGACUGCCUUUGC